rnacentral:rRNA from 1 species
GACGAACGCUGGCGGCGUGCUUAACACAUGCAAGUCGAACGGAAAGGCCCUGCUUUUGUGGGGUGCUCGAGUGGCGAACGGGUGAGUAACACGUGAGUAACCUGCCCUUGACUUUGGGAUAACUUCAGGAAACUGGGGCUAAUACCGGAUCGGAGCUCCGCCUGAAUGGUGGGGGUGGGAAAGUUUCGGCGGUUGGGGAUGGACUCGCGGCUUAUCAGCUGGUUGGUGGGGUAGUGGCUUACCAAGGCUUUGACGGGUAGCCGGCCUGAGAGGGUGACCGGCCACAUUGGGACUGAGAUACGGCCCAGACUCCUACGGGAGGCAGCAGUGGGGAAUAUUGCACAAUGGGCGGAAGCCUGAUGCAGCAACGCCGCGUGCGGGAUGACGGCCUUCGGGUUGUAAACCGCUUUCGCCUGUGACGAAGCGUGAGUGACGGUAAUGGGUAAAGAAGCACCGGCUAACUACGUG